rnacentral:lncRNA from 1 species
GGCGAAGCUGCGCCACGGUUGACGGCAGAAAGGAAAAGAAAUGUGUAGUGAACCUUCUUUGCGACCGUGAGAGCUUGAUGGCAGCGUGGGUGGCAAACAAAGAAACAAGAAACAAACAAACAAAAAACCCAAACAACAAACAGAUCCAAACCGUCUGGAAAAACUACGUUCCUAUCGGUAUACGCGGGACUGAUCGGAGUUGCGAUUCAAAGAGUCUUCAGGAUAGACUUGAGCGUCUCCGAUUUAGAAUGACCGCACUAUGUUUUCAUUUCUCUUAGGUAUAUAGUUAGGCGUAUAUACUAGGAGUGAAAUUGUUAGGUCAUUUAGUAAAUUUUUGUUUAACAUUUUAAGGAACUGACAGCUUUUCCACAGCAGCUGCCUCGUUUUACAUUCUCACCAGCCAUGAAUGAGGAUUCUGAUUUCUCCACUUCCUAAUUCUUGUGGAUCUCAGUUCCUGACCAGGGGUUGAACCCGGGCCACAGAAGUGAAAGCCUGGAAUCCUAACCACUAGGCCAUCAGGGAACACCCCCUCUUUCUUCUUUUUUUUUUUAAAUUAAUUUAUUUAUUGGCUGUGUUGGGUCUUUGUUGCUGUGCGCGGGCUUUCUCUAGUUGUGGCGAGCAGGGGCUACUCUUCGUUGUGGUGUGCAGGCUUCUCAUUGCAGCGGCUUUUGUUUGUUGCGGAGCACAGGCUCUAGACAUGCAGGCUGCAGUAGUCGUGACAUGCGGGCUCAGUAGUUGUGGCUUGCAGGCUCUGUAGCGCAGGCUCAGUAGUUGUGGCACUAAGCCCUAGUUGAUCUGUGGCAUGUGGGAUCUUCCUGGACCAGGGCUCGAACCUGUGUCCCCUGCAUUGGCUGGCGGAUUCUUAACCACUGUGCUACCAGAGAAGUCCCUCAUUUUUUUUUUAAUACUCUUUUGUAUUUUCUUCUAUAAACUCUUUUUUUUUGGCUGCAUUGGGUCUUCAUUGCUGCGUGCGUGCUUUCUCUAGUUGUGGCAAGCGGGGGCUACUCUUCGUUGUGGUGUGCGGGCUUCUCAUUGCGAUGGCUUCUCUUGUUGUGGAGCACAGGCUCUAGGCACACAGGCUUCAGUAGCGGCAGCACACAGGCUCAGUAGUUGUGGCUCACAGGCUGUAGAGUGCGCAGGCUCAGUGGUUGUGGUGCAUGGGCUUAGUUGCUCCACAGCAUCCCCUCUUUCAUUUUUGAUUUUAGUAAUUUGAGUCUUCUCUCUCUUUUUCUUGGUCAGUCUAGCUAAAGGUUCGUCAAUCUUAGUGGUCUUUUCAAAGAGCCAACUUUUGUUUUAGUUGAUUCUAUUGUUUUUCUGUUUUCUAUUUCAUUUAUUUACACCCUAAUCUUUAUUAUUUCCUUCCUUCUGCUUUCUUUAGAUUUAGUUUGCUCUCCUUUUUCUUUUCUUUUCUUUUAUCUUUUCAGCUGUGACACGUGGCUUGCAGGAUCUUAGUUCCCCAAGCAAGGACUGAACCCAGGCCCCAUGCAGUGGAAGCGGGAAGUCCUAACCACUGGACUGCCAGGGAAUUCCCUGCUUUUCUUUUUCUAGUUUAUUAAGGUAGAAGGUUAAGCUGUUGAUUUGAGAGCUUUCUUCAUUUUUAAUAUAGGCAUUCAUAGCUACACAUUUCCUUCUGAGCACUGCUUAUGCUGUAUCCCAAGUUUUGGUAUGUUUUGUUUUCAUUUUCACUAACCUCAAAAUAUUUUCCCUGUGAUUUCUUCUUUGACCCAGUGGUUGGUUAGGAAAAUUCACAUACUUGUGAAUUUUCUAAAUUCCCUUUUGCUAUUGAUUUCUAAUUUCACUCCAGUUUAGUUGGAGAAUAUUUUGUGACUUCAACCUUUUUAAAUUAAUUGAGACUUUUUUGUGGCCUACCCUAUGGUCCAUCCUGGAGAAUGUUGCAUGUGUGCUUGAGAAGAAUGUGUAUUUUGCUGUUUCUGUGUGGAGUAGCCCUCCUAUGAACCUGCCAUACUAUUUCUACAUACUGCAGCUGGAGCUGCUGUUUUUUUUUUUUUUAAAGUAUUUAUUUAUUUGCCACAUAGGGUCUUAGUUGUGUCACGCAGGAUCUUUCGUUGUGGUGCGUGGUCUUCUCUCUAUUUGUGGUGUGCAGGCUCCAGAAUGCACGGAUUCCAGAGCACAGGGGCUCAUUAGUUGUGGCGGGUGGGCUCUGUAGUUGCAGCACGUGGGUUUAGUUGCCCCGCAGCAUGUGGGAUCUUAGUUCGCUGACCAAGGAUUGAACCAGCGUCCCCUGCAUUGCAAGAUGGAUUCUUAACCACUGGACCACCAGAGAAUCCCUGGAGCUGGUGUUUUGAAUUGAAAAUAUGAUCCAGACAAUUCCCCACUUAAAAUUAACUCUCAAGAUAAAGUCCUGUCUCUAUAACAUAGUUUAUAAGGCCCUUCAUGUACUCACUCCUGCCCACCUGUCUGGAAUCACAUCUCUUAUUUACUUCUAAAUUUUUUAUUGU